rnacentral:rRNA from 1 species
UACGUAGGGGGCUAGCGUUGUCCGGAAUCAUUGGGCGUAAAGCGCGUGUAGGCGGUCCGGUAAGUCCGCUGUGAAAGUCGAGGGCUCAACCCUCGAAUGCCGGUGGAUACUGUCGGGCUUGAGUACGGGAGAGGCGAGUGGAAUUCCUGGUGUAGCGGUGAAAUGCGCAGAUAUCAGGAGGAACACCGACGGCGCAGGCAGCGUCCUGGCCGCUUGCUGACACUGAGGCACGAAAGCUGGGGGGAGCAAACAGG